UAAAGAGAGAGCGUGAGUAACAGGGGGGCAAUCUGCCCUUCACUAUGGGACAAGCCCUGGAAACGGGGUCUAAUACCGGAUACCACUCCUGCCUGCAUGGGCGGGGGUUGAAAGCUCCGGCGGUGAAGGAUGAGCCCGCGGCCUAUCAGCUUGUUGGUGGGGUAAUGGCCUACCAAGGCGACGACGGGUAGCCGGCCUGAGAGGGCGACCGGCCACACUGGGACUGAGACACGGCCCAGACUCCUACGGGAGGCAGCAGUGGGGAAUAUUGCACAAUGGGCGAAAGCCUGAUGCAGCGACGCCGCGUGAGGGAUGACGGCCUUCGGGUUGUAAACCUCUUUCAGCAGGGAAGAAGCGAAAGUGACGGUACCUGCAGAAGAAGCGCCGGCUAACUACGUGCCAGCAGCCGCGGUAAUACGUAGGGCGCAAGCGUUGUCCGGAAUUAUUGGGCGUAAAGAGCUCGUAGGCGGCUUGUCGCGUCGGAUGUGAAAGCCCGGGGCUUAACCCCGGGUCUGCAUUCGAUACGGGCAGGCUAGAGUGUGGUAGGGGAGAUCGGAAUUCCUGGUGUAGCGGUGAAAUGCGCAGAUAUCAGGAGGAACACCGGUGGCGAAGGCGGAUCUCUGGGCCAUUACUGACGCUGAGGAGCGAAAGCGUGGGGAGCGAACAGGAUUAGAUACCCUGGUAGUCCACGCCGUAAACGUUGGGAACUAGGUGUUGGCGACAUUCCACGUCGUCGGUGCCGCAGCUAACGCAUUAAGUUCCCCGCCUGGGGAGUACGGCCGCAAGGCUAAAACUCAAAGGAAUUGACGGG
rnacentral:rRNA from 1 species